UAUAGUCUUACGACCAUACUGCCUAGUCUUACGUAUUUCUUUUCUUCAAAUUUAAAUUCUUAAUAUAUUGUCUUUCGUAAGUAUUCCAAUUAGUAGUUUUCGUAAGUAUAGUCAAUUCCAGGUAAAGUAUAAUCCAUUUUUCCAAUUGUCAAAUCCAGAGUAAAUAUCAAUUCAGUACGAUUUUCCUCGUCAGUGAAUAUGUUUCAUACUAUCCGUAAAAUAUGUUUUUACUAUCCUCUUCUUAAUUUAAAGCUUCAUUGAGAUAUAGAAUUUGCAAUUCCACUAUUUGCUCUUUGCUCCAUGUAUUGAGCGUGCUUCAAAAUUUCAAAAACUUAGAGAUAAAUUAUAUGAAAUAUGGACACCCAAAAAUUUCACUUCAGAUGUAGUGGGUAACAAACAAUUAUUAUAUUGCACAGCAGGUGUACUGUGACAAUGUUUACCAAAUACAAUAACUUUAGACUUGGAUGGAUUCACACUGAGAUCAAGGAAUCCCUAUUUGUAAUAACUCAAGGCAUAGAAUAUCUAUGUUUACACUAUUAAAAGCACCUGCGAUGUCAAAGAAUACACCGACCAAGUUUUCAUUUGCGGAUAUAGAGUUUUGUAUAUCCAGCUGUAACUGGCAAACGCUUUCUCUAGCAGAACAAUUUCUACGAAAACCAAAUUGAUUGGAAGGUAAUAUAUUUUUCUACAUAGAACUCUAAACGAUGUUUAAGCAAUUGUUCAAAUAAUUUACCAACACAAGAAGUAAGUGCUAUAGGGCGAUAAGAAUCGGGGUGUAACUUUGGCUUAUCAGGUUUUAAAAUUGGUACAAGGCAAUCCAUUUUCCAGUCUUGUGGUAUUAUGUUAUUACCCCAAAGAAGAUUCAAGAUUUGUAAAAAUAUCUCUAAACUUGUAACACUGAGCUUUUUGAAUAAAAUAUAUGACAUUCCGUCGAGACCAUAAGCAGAAUCUCUAUGAGAUGAGAUGGCUGAUAUGAGUUCUUUUAUCGUAAAAGGAUUGAGGAGAAAGCUAUUGUUGGUAUUUACAUUAUUGGUAAAAAGUAAUUCUGAGUUAUAUUGUACAGAGUCCGGAGUAUAUUUCUUUAAAAAUCAGAUACCCAUAAGUCAUCUUCAUGAUUAUUAAAAUUAUAGGUUUUAUUAAAUUUUCGCAUAAAUUUCCAUAUGAUAGACAAUGGUGUGCAUCUAUUAAAGGUUUCACAAAGAGAGAACCAACUUUUUCGCCUUUCUAUUUUUAAAGUUAGUUUUUUAACUGCUCUAAGCCUUUUGAACUGUAAAUAUCAAGUAAAUAAGUCUAUGACAUUGACAUUUGACAAUCAUUUUGAAGUUAUAUUUUUUCGUUUGAAAACAAUCACAGUCUACAGAAAUUUCUUUAAAUUAUUUUUAUAUUCCUUUCAUGUUUCUUACAUUUAAGUAUAUACAAAAUGGGAUUAAAUAAAGUUUGGCAGUGAUUUAUUCGAGUUACGUCAUUUAAUAUCACGAAUACAAACAAAAAAAAAGCCUUUUCAAAAAAAACCGAUACUUGCCGAUUCGAGGGGAGGAAAGAUUUCUGAACGCAUUAACACAUCGUAAUAUAAAAAAUAUUAAGCAUAGACAACCUAUCGUGCGGCCAUGGAGUUAAUAUGUACCUGGAGAGCUUACUACGUUUGACAUUAAUACUGAAAAGAUAUUUUAUGCUUAUAAUGUAAAGUUCAUUUUGCAUUAGCAAUAGAUGUAAGGCAAAAACGGUCUCGAAAGAGAAUCACUUUUUGGUAGCCGUGUCCCUCUCGCACAUGUUGCCAACGUUCAUUACCUUCUAAAUUAAUAAUAUUAAUGGCAGUAUUAGUACAUAAAUAAAAAAUCUCUAUUAGACUACAGUAAUAAAAAAUAAAAUAAAAUAAUAUUGUCUGCUUAAAUCCUUAGAUCCUAUACUUUAUUAUGUUACAAAUUUAAUAAAUGGAAUUAUUAUAGCAGUCGUAUAGUAGAAGUUAUUGUAGUUUACGUUUCGGCAACACCGUGAACUGAAAAAAUGAAUGAAUUCUAUUGAACAAAAUGGCGUUUGUUUACAUUUGUGGUUUGAUGAUAAAGAAGGAUUGAAUAACUUUUAAGCUAGCUUUUUUUUAUAUCGUAGAAGUUACUGCGUAAUUAUGGUGAAUACUUGUGUUGUAAGAGGUUGUAAGCAAGAAUCCUAUCCAGGUUGUGAAAUAUCCUUUCAUAGGAUUCCAGUUAAUAAAGAGUGGAGGGCCUUGUGGGUUGAUGCCAUGAACCUUGACACUAAUGUGACAAAAACUGCAUGUGUUUGUAGCUUACAUUUUACUGAUGAUGCGUAUUUAACAGUAGCUAAGAAUAAGUCAAAGCCACAAGCAGUUCCUUCAGUAUUGCCUAAGAUAGUUCCAGAAAGCAAAAAAUUUACAGUUCUGCGUAUUCAAAAGUUGAAAGGAGGAUCUUUUGUACAUACUUCAUAUUCUAGUCAUAUCACAGUAGUAGGAACUUCUUAUGAACGAAGAGGACCUUCUAGUAAACGGGAUGAUGUAGAAAUGUCUGGUGAACCGCCCAAUAAAAAAAACAAAAUGGAAGAAUCAAGCAAUAAAUAUUAUAUAUUGGUUA